rnacentral:misc_RNA from 1 species
GGGGAAGUCGGCAAAACCG